rnacentral:rRNA from 1 species
UACGAAGGGUGCAAGCGUUGUCCGGAAUUAUUGGGCGUAAAGAGCUCGUAGGCGGUCUGUCGCGUCUGCUGUGAAAACUCGGGGCUUAACCCCGGGCCUGCAGUGGGUACGGGCAGACUAGAGUGCGGUAGGGGAGACUGGAAUUCCUGGUGUAGCGGUGAAAUGCGCAGAUAUCAGGAGGAACACCGGUGGCGAAGGCGGGUCUCUGGGCCGUAACUGACGCUGAGGAGCGAAAGCAUGGGGAGCGAACAGG